UGCUAUGAUGUGCAUGUUCUUCAUUUUAGGAAAUUAAAAACAACCCUGUUAAUUUAAUCACUGAAGAAGAUUUAAAACAGGCUUCUUGUUUAGAGAACUCAUACGCUAAUAAAAAAGACAAAAAGGAUGAAAGAAGAAAGAAAGCAACAGAGGGCAGUGGAAGCGUGAGAGGAGGAGGUGGUGGGAAUGCCAGAGAGAUAAAGAUUAAGAAAACCAAGAAAAAA